rnacentral:misc_RNA from 1 species
AAGUCGUAACAAGGUUUCCGUAGGUGAACCUGCGGAAGGAUCAUUAACACGUAUCCAACGUAAAAAACCCCCCUGUGAACAUUCAAACCUGCUCUCGUAGCCCAGUGCGAUCCAGCAAUCCCGGUAAAUCAUUGUCGAACAGUAGAAGUUACAGUUACGAUUGAGCGGAGAUAGCUGCAUGGCAUCCCGAAGCAGUCAGUGUCUGAAAGUGUCAUUGAUUGUCUAAGGAUCUCGCCUCAACGAUUGCCAGAGGUCGCUCACCGACCGGCAGACAUGCAACCGGGUCCCCACGCCCCUUUACAACCCCAUUACCUCUGUGAGUCGCGGGAAACUAGCGGCUAAAAAACCUCGAACAACUGUUAACAAUGGAUAUCUUGGUUCUC